ACUCGAGUGGCGAACGGGUGAGUAACACGUAGGUGAUCUGCCCUGCACUUCGGGAUAAGCCUGGGAAACUGGGUCUAAUACCGGAUAGGAGCCAUUUUUAGUGUGAUGGUUGGAAAGUUUUUCGGUGUAGGAUGAGCUCGCGGCCUAUCAGCUUGUUGGUGGGGUAAUGGCCUACCAAGGCGGCGACGGGUAGCCGGCCUGAGAGGGUGGACGGCCACAUUGGGACUGAGAUACGGCCCAG
rnacentral:rRNA from 1 species